CAGAUUCUGAGUAAAACAAAGCAGACUAGGAUGAUAUAAACCAGUUUGAUACUUUCACAGUUGUGUUUCUUGCUUUCUGGGGAAUUUUCACAAUUUCUUGGUAUGCAUGAAUCUACUUUAUCAGACACGACCAUUGCAAAACACCUCCAGGUCCACCAGGCCUCCCCUUGAUCGGCAAUCUACUCCCCCUCAAUUUUGAGCUUCCCAAAUACUCACCACUUUGGCUCAAACCUACGGUCCCAUCUUCUCGCUUCGACUCGGAACCGAACAUGGCAUCGUCGUGUCCUCCCCUUCAAUGGCUCAUCAAGUGCUUAGAGACCAUGACAUCAUUUUCGCCAACCGUGACGUUCCAAUCGCUGGAUGGAGAUGGUAGAAAUGGAUGGGUAGCGGCGGGAGAAGGAUGGGUCAAGGUCAAUGUUGACGGUGAUCGAAGCAAGCU